rnacentral:tRNA from 1 species
CGCGGGGUGGAACAGCUUGGUAGCUCGUCGGGCUCAUAACCCGAAGGUCGUCGGUUCAAAUCCGGCCCCCGCAACCA